AUGUACAUAGAGGUAUCAGGAUGCUUUGAGGUCACGAGCACAAAUGAGUCAAAUUUUCCAAAGGAAUCACUGAGAAGAUUAAUAAUCAUGGGCUACCCAGUUCUGCCAGCAGAAGGACUGAAACACAUGCCGUGUACACCAGGUUCUGGGAGGCAGCAGGCAAGGAGCCCAAAUGGCUCCUGUCAUCUUCUACCUUGUCUGGAGCCUCAUCACAACACAGCCCUCUGCAAACCAGCAGCUCUUAUGCCCCGAAAAGGAAAACGGAAGCAGGAUGUCGGCAGCUGCAUCGUGAUGGCAGAAGGAAGGAAACAGUAUCUUCAGCCGACAGAACAAGGACAGGGCAAUGGUGACACUGACAGCCAGAUGUUCCCAGGUGCAGGAAACUUCUGUGAGAGGACUGAGCUGAGUACUACAGAGAAGGAAAGAAUCUGCACUGCCAAGUAGCAGCUUUAAACAGCAAAACCCACUUACCCUACUCCACCAAGAAUUUGUUGCUAAUGGCUCCAUGUGUGUGCCCAGACGUGAUCUGCAACGCCAGCAGCUCUUUGUGUUACAAACUCAUGUGCUGUGAAACUCUGCAAUUCAUUGCUCCGUGAUUCCAACUGACAGCCAAGGCUUUGCUGUAGUCAAUGCCUUGGAUGCUCUUCUUCCUGAAUCCAAUUUUUGCUUGUUUUAAUAUGGAAAUUUAAAUCCAGCAUCUCGUUGUUUUUUUUUUUUAUCACACUAUUAAUGAAAGGCCUUACAGUGUCUGAAUUAGAAUUUCCUGCUCUGGUUCAUCUCAAGUUGUGGAAAAUAGUGUGAGUGGACAGAUAUUGGAAAGACAAAUUCUGUACGCCUAUCUGUGGCCUCUUGGUGUCCACUCCUGUUGGUUGCUUUCCAUCUCUUGACCAGCUAGAAAGGAACAUGUGUAGUUGAGUUUCUGUUGAAGGAUGAAAUACACAUCCUGCAGUUGGUAUGGAGUGUAGAGAACGUACAUCACUGCAGAAGCAGACACUUGUGUCUGCCUGAAAGAACUGCAUUUAGACUUCUUUGCCCUGCUUUUCUAGCAUGCUGGGGUCUGAGUGGCAACCUGCCUUUUCUGGUACUUGCCUUUUGCCAGUCUGUCUGUGUCAGUCGUUGGGAAUUACAUGGAUUUCUUCCCUCCAGGAAAACAGCGAACUGGUGAAGUAGAGCGAUGCCACAUUAAUGCCAAACCUGAAUCAAUCUCUUGGUCCGGAUUUUGGGGGAAUUCAUUAGUAUUCCUGAUAUAAUUUUUGAGGUGCCCUGGACCGCAUUUAUAAAAAAGAUUUCUCUCUUCAGGUAGCAGGAAAUUACGUGAGUUCUCCCAAAAGCUGUGCUUGACAUGCCAAGGAUUUUGAGAUGGAUGGACUGAUUUUGCUAUUUCUUUCCCCUGAAUGGAGAGAUUCAGAAGCUAGCAGCCCCAAGCAAAGAAAGAAACCAAGGGAGUGAGUCCAUAUAUACUGAAAAGGGAAAGCAGAGCAGGAAUUUGCCAGAGCUUUUUGGAAAGGAUCUAGAUAUGAACUAGCAGUUCACGCUGGAAAUGUUGUUCCACUUUUUUAAUCCUUUUUUUUCCCCUUCUGACUCUUUGUUUGGUUUUGUUGCAUUGCUCCUGGGACAUUCGGAGUGACAAUAAGGCAAUUGUUCCUUCACGAACAGGGCUCAAUGAAACUGUGCAGAAAAAGUGACAUGGCAAGAAAAUAUGACAAAUACGCUUUACUUCUCUGCGGAAUACUGCCAUUUCCUCAGUAUGUAUUCCUGAGCAGAAAAAUAUCCAUCAAGAUAUUGAUUUUAAACAAGGUGUUGCCAUUUGUGUAUUCUCCUUUCUGGAGAUAUAAAGCUCAGAUCUCUCUUGCCUGCCCUGCAAAGAGAAAAUGCACCUAAUAUCAAUUACAUUUUUAAUCUCUAAGACCUAGUCUCCAAAUGUGUUUGUGUCUGUGUAUACACACAAACUGUUUUCCCUUUGUCUUCCUAUCCAAAAUGCAAAAGCAUCUCAGAUGUUGUGAUUCCUCCUGGUUUCUCCCCCGUGGGAGGAUGGAAAUAUGUAACAUUAUCUUCUAGCUGCCUACUGCCUGUCUCCGAAAUUAGCAUUUCAGUGACUGAAAGGUAGUUAGUUUCCACACACACACAAAAAAGAAAGAAAUGGAGGGUUAGUACAAGGCUGACACUAAUAGUAAUAGGAGAUGAGGGAGAGGAUAUGGGACAUGUUGGAUUACUAAAUGAAAACCGUGAUUUUACCAGACGUGCUAACAGAACAAUGAAAGGGGCUUUUACAGAAUAAAUUAACUCUUUGGGUUUCUGUAAUUAGCUAC
rnacentral:lncRNA from 1 species